UGGACACUGAUGCCUGCGUCACAGACCAGGACAGAGCUGCGAGAGUGGAGUUAACUUGCAGAGAUCACUCGGACAAGAGGCAGGACUGGAUCCCGGGUCUGUUUGGCUCUGAAAUUCUUCAUUUUUUCCAUUGUGCACAUCAAGGAAGCCGACCCAAGAUCACGUGCAUCAUGCAAGGCUGAAUCUUCCCUUCAACCUAUGGGUCAACCGACUGAAAGCCUGUUGUUUUGAUGACUGAUAUGAAAUCCUAUUGGUUGAAACUGUGAGAAGGCGGGCUACCUACCCUCACCCCACUUCAAACCAACUGUAUGUGUCUGUGACAGUGUAUGUGUAAGUUUGGAUGACAAAAAAAAAAAAAAAUGUGGUUAAUUCUUCUUGUUGUAUAUUUCCUGCCACUGACAUUUGUUGCUGCUGCUGUGUAAUGAGGUUGAGGCUGGGUAGAGAAUCGGAUACAAAUGACCUAUAUACUUAUUCCCCAAUUAUGGCUACCUUUCUCAACUGUUCUUGGAGAACCUGGAAAGUAGAAAAGGUAACCAGGAAGACAUUUACAUGUUUUGCUCUAAUAAAGCAAGCACUUAGGACUUCAGGUCAUCUUAGUUAAUGAGAAAUUUGAAAAAAAAAUGGUUCUGUUUAAUAAAAUGAUGUAUUCUUAACAUGAAUCAUAAUGGUUCUUAC